rnacentral:misc_RNA from 1 species
GAGCCGGUGGUGGCGCGCUGCAUAAAGAGGGACACACGUCUGUAUGGGCGUGUGUGUGCCCCACAUCCUUGUGUCUCCCUCCUUCGUCAGACACAUAAAGGCACACACACACACACACACACACUUCGUAAGCUGGCUUUCCACGCCUCUAAUCAAGCACACAUACACGCACUAAAUUCUUUGCAUGCCCUCGUUGUCCUCGCCACCAAAGCCGCUCCUCUCGUCAUCUACACCUUCUCGGUCACGUGCGGUGAUUUCAAUUUUUUUCUUUUUUCGUGUUUGCUUUGGAUUUUGGUCCGUCUGUCGGUGCUUGUCUGUGCUUGUGGGCGUGUGCGUGUGAUCUGCUGCCGCUUCUACUUCGCACGAUGUGUGCGUGGCGUUUCUCGGCAGGCAGCAACCGGGGCGCCACUGGUGGCGGUCUUGGGGCCGGUGGCGCUUUCGGCGGUGCGGCACCAGGCUCAUCGACCCCUUUCUCGACGGGGCUCGGCGGUAUUCAGGUGAGUAGCACUGCUGGCGCCCUUCUCCGACAGAACGCUGUCCCGAGAGCCGGCGGUAGCGACUUUGGCCGCAUUGGAGAUUCCGUCAACACCGCAAGUGCGCGCUUCCCACUCUCUGCCGACGCUGCGGCGGAAGCGCUGGCAGUGGUGGGUCAGCACGAAGGCGUUGUGCACCCGUUGAGCGACGAAGAUGACGCCGAUGAGGACGAUGUGUAUGAAGAGAGCGAAGAGGGGUAUAACAGUGACGACGAUGGCCAUGGCGGAGAGCGAUCACUGCCUGCGAAAACGGCGGAGGCUGCCGCCUCGGCGUUCGUGAAGGGGACAUCAAGAAGCUUCGGCCCUGUUGCGGGUGCCGGCGGAGAUCUUAAUAGCGGUGCCGAGGCGAAAGGCACCGGUGGCUCCGCUAUCGCUGCCUCGAAUGCGCAGCGCAGCGCGCUCAUCGCCGCGAACCUCUCUCGGCAGCUCUUCAAGGCCAAGAUGCCGGACAGCGCCGCCUCCGCCAAGGACCAGGAUGAGCUGGACGAGGAGGACCUCGAUCAGCUCUCCGCCGUCGAUCGCGAUUUCGUUAUGAACACAAAGGACCUCUUUGACGACGUGGACGCAGAGCUGCUCGGCGAGGACUUCGUGCCGCACGAACACGUUGUUGGCAUCAUUGCCUCGGAAGCCACCGGCGGCGAGGCGUCGCCGGACGAGAUUGACGACAACUUAGUAGACUACAAGGACCUCGAGGCUGAGAUUAACGCGGACCUUGCGGACUACAUUGACGCUCACCACCAGGAGUUCAACAACGCCAUCUGCGACUUCUCCGAGAUGGUUCUGGCCGUCUCCGGCAGCGACGACACACUGGCCCAGUUCAAGAAGGAGCUAGCAGACGCGAUAGUCUCGCUAGAAAGUCAUGCUGGAGAGCUCAAGGUGCUGCGGCUGCGUGCCGCCAAGUCAUUGUUCAUGGCCGACGCGUUGGAGCACAUCCAGGAGGUGGUUCUCGCUGAAGCAGAGGUGAAGGGACUAUUGCAGAACCGGCACUAUCUCGCGGCGGUGCAGACGCUGCAGGCGCAGGCGCGCCUACUCGCCAGCGAUGAACUGAAAGGCGUACGCGCGGUGCAGACUCUCCGCGACACGCACAACGCUACCAUCUCGACGCUGCACCACCUCAUCAUCGACGACCUGUUGGCAUGCGUCUUUCGUCAUGAGCGCCUCGUCGAGGCGGAUGCGCAGUUGCUGCAGGAGAUGCUCGAUAGCAGCGAGCGCGACACGAAGGACACCAACGCGGCCGCCCCAAGCGUGCAGCACACCAUUUAUAAGUAUUGGAAGAUGGCUGGCGUUGGCACCCCCGGCAGUGGCCACCCAGACGACGACGAUGACGCUGGUGAGGUCGACCGAGAUGGUGGCCUUGGCGCCGCGACACACAACGGCACCGCUGCCGCCUCAACGAAGACGGCGGGUGUGGGCGGGCCUGCCAGGAAGGAUCGCACGCUCUCCGCAAUCAUCGAGACGCUGAUCGACGACCCGACGGAUGAUCAGGUGUUCAGCAACUACCUGAAGUUUGUGCCCUUGUGCGUCAAAAGCCUAAUGCUGCUGGGCAAGAUAGACCACUGCCACGAAACGUUUUUCAGCCGCGCGACGCGCAGCAUGGAGCGCUUUAUCGCCCAUUUUCUUUGCUUGUAUGACGCGUGGCGACGCCGCACACGCAGCGGGGCGAGCCUCAGCUAUGACGAGGCGGAGGCGGCCAUUCGCGGCACGCACGUGCGCGCCCUCGACCUCGCCUGCGACCUCAUUUCGUUCGAUGAAGCCGUGGCCACCAUCCAGGCGCGCGACCUGCGCUCCAUGCUGGGCGCCCUCUUCACCGAGCUGGAAAAAAUUCUGCGCAACGCGGCGUAUCUGCAGAAGGUGGUCUUAGUGGCGCACUUCCCGUUUGUAUCCCCGUUCGUUGUGCAGCCGGCCCCGUUUGUGCCGGAGGCGACGUCGCGCCAGUGGAACGUCAUGGACGUUCCGCUGCGAAACAAGAUGUGGCUGCACGACACCCUGACGACAGCGCUGGACUACGCGCAGAAGUGCGUGCGCGAUGCACCGGCCCAGAGUGAUAAGUCGUCGCCGCGCUCCUUUCCCGCCGGCGGUGGCGACAGCAACGCUGGUGAUGCCAUGGCGAAGUUCUUAGAGUUCUUCAACGCCGAUGCCGUGUUGGCAUCCCUGAAGGCCGAGGCAGAGGAGAAGGAUGUCGCCGCCGCAGCAGCUGCUGCUGCGGCCACGACACCUGUGAAUCUGAAGACGUCCGGCGGCGUCACGCCGAACACUGAUACCGCGGCGAGCGACGCCUCCCCUUUCCUCGCGUUUGGCCGGAGCAAGCCCUGUCUCACACUGCAGAGCAUUUUGAACCUUGUCGACAGCGCGUGCGCACAGACGCGCGCCAUUUUCCCUGCUGCUGAGGCGGUGCUGCGCAAGCUGCAGCUGGCCAUUUCUGCUGAGCUACGAGAUGCCGUGCGGAUGAAGUUGGUGGCCGAAGUGCAGGCGCUGCUGCAGGAGUGGGACCUGCAGGUGCUGUGGUCGCAACUGAACUACCACAUCGAGUUUGUCUUCCACGUCAUCUGCGACGCGAAGGAGUCGCAGGACGAGACCGACGACGCCGUCACACUGCUGCCCUUCCUGCGUCAGAAGAACUUGAUCAGCCGCGUGCAGCGCACCGCCACCAUCAUGCUGGACUCUGACAAGCAGGGUGACGACACAACGACGCUGGACCGCCUUUUAUCCACUUAUGCCUCGGGCGGCCUGCUGCGCAUGGUGGAGGAGACGGGCACCGUAUCGUUCAGCUUGGUCGGCGCCGUGAAGAAGGCACAGGCAGACAUGCGAAAGGCCCGCGAAAGACAGGCGAGCCAGUUUGACGUCAUGCAGUGCGACAAGGCCAAGCUCAUCGCGUUCACCGACAGCGGCCUGGGUGGCGGUGGCGUGGGCGGGGCCGGGGCACCGCUGGUGCUGCUGCACGCGAGCAUGUUGCGCCGCUGGUUUGUCUUUACUGCGAUGAACGCGCUGACCUGCUACGAGUGCGCAGCGCGCUUCUACAGCCGCAGCUGCGAUCGCGUUCCCGAAUUCCGGUUGCUGAGCGAGGAGGAGUGCGUCGUUGGAUUCUUCAAGCGCUUCCUACGCGCCACGUACAUUCCCACCCUGCACGCCUUCCAUUCACAGCAGCUGCAGCUGCUACUCAUGAGCAUCGGCGACAGCGGUGGCACCAGCGCCGCAGGAGCCACACCGUCCGCCUCUCCUCCGCCCGCAGACGCGGGCAGCACUACGUCGCGCAGCGGCAAGGCGCCGGCGGCGAUGAAGACCCUCAGCGGCGCUUGGCCGACAGUCGUCGUGGACGAGGUGCAGCACCCCAUCCUUGCGUGUGUGCAGUACGUGGGGCAGGUGCUGGCGAAGGUGAGUGACGUGCGCCGCAUCCUUCCAGAUUCGCUGACGGGGGAGGUGGAGCAGAACACGUCGGAGGCUCUCAUCAUGGAGCUGGUGGUAUUCCUAAAGAGACAGGUGGAGUGGCUCGGCCGCGGCACCCUCGCCCACCGACUGCUGGACAAGCCCUUCCAGGACGCUUUUUCCGGCAUGCCCAAUCGCAGGUGGGCUGCCCUGGUGGACGAGGAGAACAUCUUAGACGCGCAUAGGUACAUUGACCAGGACCUCUACCGCUACUAUCAGCUCAACAGCGACGAGCGGACGAGCGGGCACGAGUACAACAGGUCGACAGUGUCCGUGCUGGAGGCGAUGCGCGUGCUAGAGACAUCGUCUGCCGCAUCCCCCGGAGAUGGCGGCGACGCGGGUGCCGCGGAGGCUGAGCUAGAUCAACAUAUUGGCCGGAUGGAGCCUCGGGACAUAUGUGUGCGCGACGACAGUACCCUCGUCGCGUUCGCCCUUCUGUGCACCUCGGCCGAGUGGCUGUGCGACGUGCUGCUCCGCUACCUGUGGCCGAGCCGACGUAAGGCGCGCAACUACACGGACUGCUGCGUGCCGGGCUACUGCUUUGCUCACGAGAUGCGCGUCAGCGACGCCACCUCCUUCGUGCUCGUGGACGGCGACUACACGGCGCAGCAGAAGGUCCGCCUGUCGGGGCACCUCGUGCGCCUCUGCUCACUUGCGCAGGUCGCACUCUUUCACCUGUCCGUCGAGGCGCGGUUUCUGGCGUUUCUCUUUCUGCCGCAGCUGCGCGACGUGUCGUACGACGUGGUGGCCGUGUCAAGCGCCGCCGACAUGUUCGUCCAGGCUUACGCGCGGCGCGUGCACAACUUCUACGCGAUCCUUCGCCAGCACCUCCACGCGAAGAAGAUCAAGUACACGUGCCUGACAGCUGGCAAACCAGCAAGCGAGUUAAUCUUGAUGGAGCUGGCCCACCUCCGCGACAAGGCCAUCUCGCAGGCUGGUCUCGUGCGACUGCGAACGGACCUCCUGGUUAUGCAGACCACGCUGCAGCUGGUGCUCCCGACCGACAGCGACGUGCGGCUGGCGGUGUCGCGCUUUUUCCUCCGGCCGGUGCUGUUUCUGCGGUACAUCUUCAACAAGGACGUGGUCAAUGAGAUCGUGUCCAGCUUGGACUACCUUAACUUCUCCACGAAAGAGGUGGAGGUGCUGAUCCGGCUUGUCUUCCGGCAAGUCUCCGGCGCCAACGACGACACACUGGCGGUCCAGCAGAUCCAGUUCUUCUACCAGAAGCUCAAGACGAUUCGAAAUUUGUGUUAUGCAGGCAACAGAACUGGCGGCGGCAGCAGCGUUGUCAGCGAACCUUUACUACUACCUGAUGGUGGUGGCUCAUCGGUCGGCGCCAUCGGUGGUGGCGGGCUGCCGCCAUUCGUGCCGCUCUCCACAAACGCGGCUGCCGUGGCCGCCGCCGCGCUGGACGGCGGGGACGAUUACCACAGCGGCGCCUUCAGCUACGACGACGGCGGCUCCGACGCGUCGGACUCGCAGCCGCCACCGCUACCGCUCUCGUCCGCCACCCGAAGUCGUCAGUCCGCCGCUGGCUGCCUCGCCGCGUCGCCGAGCAUUUUGGCCCCUCCAAAAUCGGUGCCAGUGUCAACGUCUGCCUCUGCCGCCGCGGCCCCAGUCAGCACUCGGCCCGCGGCCUCCAGCGAAGAGGACGAGGAAGAUGAAGAGUCCGAAGAGGACGAAGAAACGCCAGAGGCGUCGACGACGCUGCAACCCGAUCGUCAGCGGCCGCAGCGCCCCAUCCCUCGAGGUACUGAUGGGGCUUGCUCAUCCAUGUCUGCUGCUGCUCCUGCUGGUGCAGAGGCGACAGCGCUCGGCAGUCGUCUCACACGCCGUGUAGACCCCACCUCGCUCCCAGAUACGCCAUGCCUGCAUUCGAGCAGCGCCGCUGCGGCGAAGCCAGCGCUGGCGCGACCCGUCGUCCCACCCCUUGCCACGACCCCUUUUAAAGGGGCCCCUUCAAAAGCACCCGCACCAGCCGCCAAGACCGGCGCUGUAAAGGUGGAGGCGUCCAGCGAGGAGAACGAGGACGACGAGGAGUACGAGUACGAGGAAGAGGAGACCUCCGAGUACGAAGAGGAGGAGGACGAGGAGGACGAGGAGGAGGAAGACGAGGCAGCGCCAGCCCCAGCUCCUACGGACAGGAGGCCGCCGCAUCCUGGGCUUCACCCUGCCGGAUCUCCGACCAACGGAGCUGCCGCUGCGAUUAGGCGACCAUCUGCGUCGUCCGCCUUCGCUCCCAAAUGAGAAGACAAGGGGUAGGGGCAGAUGCGCUACCCGUGGCCGAUCUGCGCUCUCACGAAAUUCCUUUUGCCUUUUGGCUUUGAGUGCAUCGCGUGCUGGUGGUGCACUUGGCGCAACAUGCACUAUAGAGCGGAUGUCCGGGCUGCUGCAAGCCCUCCCACAGCCUGUCUCCGUCUGUCUUUGUGUGCGGUUGCACUGCAGCCCCUCAUCGCCUAUGAUCCCCCCUCUCUCCCCGCAUGUAUGUAUACGUGUGCUGCGUGCCGUCGCCUCGUGAGAUGCUGUCGGCGCGGAGGGGGUGGGCUCUGAUACGCGGUGAUGAUCCGGUUGCUGCCUCAUCCCCUCCCCAUUUUUGCUUUCCUUUGCUGCUGCUCACCUCAUCGUUUCGUUGUGUUCUUUGCCCCACCCCCUCCCCCACUCCCGACUCUCUGCGUGUGUGAGGACGGCAGUCCGGCAGCCCCUACCUAACCUUUCCCAAUGCUGAGCCACUCCUGGUGGUGGUGGCAGGGCCCGGCGCCCGCAACGCAGGGAAGUUAGAGCGACCGGCGACAGCGCACACGCCUGUGCCGUCCAUGUGAUAGGCAGAGUGCCACGGCUACUCAAAGGUAUCCCACCCCCGGCCCUCACGCUGCUUCCUGGUGUGGGGCGCCUGAGUGCCACACGGAGAGGGACGCACCAGGGGUGGCGACAGGCAUGACAGAAGCGGCUGUGAGGCGACCUGCGUAGCGAGGGGGUGAGUGUGCAGAGAGUGAGGCGGAGACUGUGCUGAGAUGAUCGAGUCGGCGCAUACCUGCUCCGUGCGUGUGUGUGUGUGUGCAGCUGCCAUCGCGCCACGCGGGUUGGGGCGUGUGUGACUUUGGGGUUGGGGGAUGGAAGGGCGCUGGAGCUCGUGUUUUGUGCGACCGAGAAUGAACUCCCGUCCGAAACAAGGAAUAUAUACCUUUGCAGUGAAGCACACCUCUUUUCCCUCUCUCAUGAGAAGGGUGUGACGUGCAGGGAUGUGCCGCGAGUUCGGUGAAUCGCGAACAUGCCGCGUGCCGCUUGCACGCACACGGACCCAUCACGGAUCCCUGCUGCCGUGCAGGCUGCUACACGUAUUUUUGUGUGCGUGGUCUCACUUCGUGACAAGUAGUUCC